UACGUAGGGUGCGAGCGUUGUCCGGAAUUAUUGGGCGUAAAGAGCUCGUAGGCGGUCUGUCGCGUCGAUCGUGAAAACUUGGGGCUUAACCCUGAGCUUGCGGUCGAUACGGGCAUGACUGGAGUUCGGUAGGGGAGACUGGAAUUCCUGGUGUAGCGGUGAAAUGCGCAGAUAUCAGGAGGAACACCGGUGGCGAAGGCGGGUCUCUGGGCCGAUACUGACGCUGAGGAGCGAAAGCGUGGGGAGCGAACAGG
rnacentral:rRNA from 1 species